ensembl:lncRNA
GUUCGACAUUUCCAUAACCACACCUCCUGUUAUUCCCUCUCCACACAAUCUAACUUCUCUCCUCUUUUCUGUCUGUUGUCUGAUAUGACCCUGGCCUUUCAGCUAUUCUGGUGUCCCUAUCAACUUUUCUAGUGUUAUCUCUUUCUCCAUAAACCAUGAUAAGUAAACAUGAUAGCUAGUCACUUGUUAGUUAUUACAGUGGCUAUAUUAAUACAAGACUACCCACCACCCAAUCUCAACUGUAUUGUGGUAAAAUCGUUUACACAUGAUGCACUGAAUGAAUACAAUGUUGAAAUCAGUAGAGCAUGGACACCAACAGCAGCAGCGUGUGCUAUAUCAUUUCCAGCAGCCAGUUUAGGGAUGUUGGGGAUAUUCCUCUAAGGAUUUCAGGCUUUUGAUUAUCUGUGUUUAGCUGAUAAACCUGUUAUGUCUUCCAGCUAUGCCACCUUUCAAUGCUUAUCCUGCUGUGAUUGGUGCAGCCAUUGGAGGCAUGAUUAUAGCAGCAAUACUAACAGUGCUGCUAUUCAUAUUUAUUGUGAGGAAUCGUAACAACAAUCCACGCCUACAUGACUUGAUAUUUGGCAUUCGAAACAGUCAGUCCAGGGAGAAUAUCAACUACCCUGAAGACGAGUCUGUUGGUGGAGUUGAGGGAGAUGUGAUUGGAGGAGAACACAGUCCAGGACCAGCCAUGACAUCCCCAAGACCCACUGAUCCAGCACCAGAACUGCCGCCAAGCGAUUAUAAUGAGCCCGUCAAUGUAACAAUUACAGUCAUGGCAACGAGUUAACAAUAUGAUAAACCUUUUGUGUUCUGUGGGAGUAGGAAAUAAAGCCAGCUAGCCAAUUUCAGAAAGUGUUACUGCAAGUAGUAUUAUUCCUUCUUUACUGGACUGAGGACUUAUUGUCAUAUUCAGUACACACAAUUAGUAUUUAUCACCUAUUCAAUAUUGACCGUGU